UAAUGGGGCCAUGCAUAGUUGAGAUUGACUGUAUUGUUAUAAGAGAAGUUCAAUAUCAAUUUGAAGUGAAUCGGUGUAGAAAUGAAGAAAUUAUAGUAAAGGCAAUUUUGGGUGGGUGUGGUCUAUGUGGGCGGGGCCCCAGGGUUGGUUAUGGGGCCAUGCAUAGUUGAGAUUGACCCUAAUGUCAUAAGAGAAGUUCAGUAUCAAUUUGAAGUGAAUCCGUGUAGAAAUGAAAAAAUUAUAGUAAAUGGAAUUUUUUGGUGGGUGUGGCCUAUGUGGGCGGGCGCCCCAGGGUUGGGAUUGGGGCCAUGCAUAGUUGAGAUUGACCCUAAUGUCAUAACAAAAGUUCAGUAUCAAUUUGAAGUGAAUCCGUGUAGAAAUGAAAAAAUUAUAGUAAAUGGAAAUUUUUGGUGGGUGUGGCCUAUGUGGGCGGGGCGCCCCAGGGUUGGGAAUGGGGCCAUGCAUGGUUGAGAUUGACCGUAUUGUCAUAAGAGAGGUCCAGUAUUAAUUUGAAGUGAAUCGGUGUAGAAAUAAAGAAGUAAAUGUAAAAUAACCUAAAAAAAUGAGUGAUAAUUUCUGACGCGGCCCCACCCCAACCGCUAUAACUUUUGACCCAG